rnacentral:rRNA from 1 species
ACGCUCGACACCUACAGGAGGCAGCAGUGGGGAAUAUUGCACAAUGGGGGAAACCCUGAUGCAGCGACGCCGCGUGAGCGAAGAAGUAUUUCGGUAUGUAAAGCUCUAUCAGCAGGGAAGAAGAAAGACGGUACCUGACUAAGAAGCCCCGGCUAACUACGUGCUAGCAGCCGCGGUAAUCUGAGCGGGCUGGCAAGGC